rnacentral:miRNA from 1 species
ACGAAUAUGUUCGCCACCACAGAAACAUAACUAAAUAUAUUGUAUUUAUUGUAUUUUUAUGAUUUAUAAUAAAAACAAUAAAUAUUUGCGUAGUUUUGUCAUAAAUCAUAAAAAUACAAUAUAUUUAGUUAUGUUUCUGUGUUGGCGAACAUAUUCGU